rnacentral:lncRNA from 1 species
GCCGGUUCCUGCAGCGCGGUCAGCCUGCGCUCCCGGCACGGUUCCCUCUCCCGCUCACAACGCACACGGCCUCUCAAAUCGCCGGCUCCGGGCGCAGAGAUGCUCUGGGACAAGUCGGGGAAGGGCAGCUAAAGGAGAGAGCGCGGAGCUGGUUCAGCGCUGGCCCCUAUGUGUUGCUGUUGAUCUGAUCAUCGAGGCUUGGGACAAAGGACACAGGAACAGGGAAGUUUUGCCAUGAGCUAACAUCUGUGUCAAUCUUCCUCUAUUUUGUAUGUGGGUCGCUGCCACAGCACUGCUGCUGAUGAGUGGUAUGCGUCCACACCUGGGAACUGGACCUGGGCUGCCGAAGUGGAGUAUGCUGAACUUAACCACUAGGCCAUGGGGCUGGCCCCUAAUAAUAUCUCUUAGUCUCAUCUCAUGUUAAUUUAUAAAUUUCUACCUUGUCCUUCUUAACAGCUGUUUAGUAUUCCAAUGUAUGGAUAUACCAUAAUUUAUUAAACCAGUCUCCUACUGAUGGGUGUUUAGGUUGUUCCCAAUUUACUGCUAUCAUAAUAAACAGUGUUGCAGUAAACAUCAUUGAACAUACAUCUUUGUAUACGAGU